CAGACGAUGGGAAGAAAAGGUGAUGGGAAGAAAAGGCCCCAUGGCCAGAGUGAAAAGAACAGUCUCAUUCAUGCUCACCAUAACUGUCACAGCACAUAAAGACUUCCACAGAAAAGAUUCCUUGCUGUGAGCCAGUACUGAAAGUCCUUGGAGGAGAUGAAUGACACCAGAAGACUGCCUGACAUGGGGUGUGGAGGCUUUGGAAGGCUGAGAUGAUGCCCUAGUGCCAUUGGCAGGGUGCCCAGAAACAUUUACUGCCGCUCCCGCCACCCUGGGGUGCUGCAGCCCUGAGGCAGCUCUGUGAUUGGAGAGCUCCUAGGCAAGAGCCAAAGCAAGGACACACACAGGUGCAAAGGUCCUUGAAAGUGCCAGGGAAAUGUGGAUUCCUCUCCUCGUGUCCACAGAUCUGCCCACGGGACACCAGCUGACGCUGCUGGGACCUCACCGGCCCUGAGCAAAGAGGUGGGCCAAAGAAGGCUGGUGACGCUCUCCUCCCAUGUCCCCGUGCAUUUGGGGUGGAGUGGGCUGACAUGCCAUUGCCAUGGUAACAAGAAGGCGUGGGUCUGGGCAAGCAAGCUGUUCCAAAGAGGACAAGCGGUCCCUUCGGUUGACACAGUGGACCGUGGGCAUGCCUUUUAUCAAGACCUCUCUGAAUGGAGAACUCAGAGAUGGUGAAUGAUCUCCAAGCUGAAUGAUCACCCAGGAAUUCCCCCUCAUUCAUCUAUCUCUGGAGGGAGGAGGGAAAAUAAAAAAGCUGCUUCGGAAGUUCUCCAGCGGUGCCACUUCCAUUGGUACCUCAAUUGGAAUCUAUGAGAAAAAAAAGUUCCUUUGUAAUGACCUCAGCCAUGCUUUAAAAAAAAAAAAAAAAAAAAAGUAAAAGCCUCUAAAACUCAUGAAAAACACAGUUGAUGUGAAUCAUAUGUCUGAGUGGCGAAGUUCCCGCAAAGCCGGGAGGGU